rnacentral:rRNA from 1 species
AACACAUGCAAGGUCGAGGGGCGAGCAUGGGAGAAGCUUGCUUUCCCGAUGGCGACCGGCGAAUGGGUGGAGUCACGCGUGUCCAACCUGCCUCCCGGCCCGGGGGACUAGCCCUUGGAAAUGAGGAUUAAGACCCGAUAGGUGGAGCUUCCGCAUGGCGGCUCCAUGAAACGAGACCGGAGAUGGGGACGCGUCGGAUUAGCUUGACGGCGGGGCGACGGCCCACCGUGGCGACGAUCCACAGGGGUUCUGAGAGGAAGGUCCCCCACACUGGCACUGAGACACGGGCCAGACUCCUACGGGAGGCAGCAGUGAGGAAUAUUGGUCAAUGGGCGAGAGCCUGAACCAGCCAAGUAGCGUGCAGGAUGACGGCCCUACGGGUUGUAAACUGCUUUUGCGGGAGGAUAAAGGACACUACGUGUAGUGUUUUGCAGGUAUCCCGUGAAUAAGGACCGGCUAAUUCCGUGCCAGCAGCUGC